AACAGGUGAGAUGUGGGUCCCACCCGGAAAGGGUUCAAGGUCCUGGCAUUCUCUACUCCCACCUUGCGUCUUUGGGCGCUUCACCGUCCAGGUCUCAGUUUUGCUCUUCAUAAAAUGGUUGGACGUCAGGAGGAGAGGUGCGUGGACGGCAUGGGGGUCCGUGGGAGCGCCUCCAGAGUUGUACAAGUGAGGCAGAGUCUGGCAUUUUCCUGCGAUGGCUCGGGGCCGCGGGGGUGGAUGGAGAGGAUCAUGAUUGGGAAGAGGGAACACACACGCACACACACGCACACGCACACACAGACACGCGGGCGCGCGCGCGCGUCUCCCUUCCUCUUCCUCCCCCCCCCCCGAGGGGCGGUACCCCGGUCCCUUGGGGGAGGUUUUCGGGCGGAGGACCGGGGAGGACGGCGCCCCGGAGGGCGGCGGGCCGCGGGGGAGCAGGAGCGGGGUCCGGGCCGCUGCAGCCGGGGGCCCCUCCCCGCCGUCCCCUCCCCGCCGUCCCCUCCCCCUCGCCUCCUCCGGGUCCCCGGCAGCGGCGUCUGGAGGAGCAGCCGGCGGCGCAGCGGCCGCGCAGCCUUUGUCUCGGGACCGCGGGGCGGCGGGGCCCAGCGCUGGCAGGCCACGCGGGAACGGAGGAGGAGAAACGGGAGAGGAGCCGGCGAGCGUCACCAUCAUUACCAUCACCAUCACCACCACCGUCACCACCAUCACCAUCUCCAUCUCUGCCCGUCGCCCAUCCCAGCGGCCCCCGACCUCCCCUCCCCUCUCAUUUCCCCGGGUAUCGUCAACUUUAUCAGAGUAUUUCCUUUUCCUGGGUGAUACUUUGAAACCUCGACAGAGUGCCCCAAAUUAGGAAUAAGUACCUGUGCGGUGGGGCAUUCGGUCCUCUUUCCUUUGCCAGUUAGCUACCUCGGCUUUCCCAUCAGGAAAAGGACCACGGUGGUGCUCCCUUGCCCACAGGCAGCCUUCGAUGGCUGGCAAGCUUUCAGUUUUUCUACUCUGGUGUUGGAAAGGGUUUUGUAUAUUAAAAAAAAUUUUUUUCUCUCACUUGGGAAUAAUGAUGAUCGUGAUGGUAAAGUAAUAUCUUCACUAAAUUCAAGAGUUUUAAAUUCUUCUCUCCUUUGAUUUGUGACUGUCAGAAUACCAGUAGCAAAGAGAGGCAUAAAGAAAAUGAAACUUUGACUAAAAUACCAAGAACAGACGCUAAACAGGUACGUUUGAAGAAAAAUCAUCCCAGAGGACUGAGGGCAAUGACUUUUGUCUAAAGUGUAGAAAGUGCUCUUUUAGUGCUUAGUGGCUGUAGAUGUCAUUAUUUUUGGAUACAUGUUGCAUCCCCUGGGUGCUUUUCACCCUACCUGAAGAGUGUUUUAAUUGUUGGUGUUUCAAAACUGGCAUUUACCUGCUCCAAAGGACUGCUGAGCAGUCAGAGCACAGAUCAGCCGAGCCGGAGGGGCUGUUAGGAAGCCCAGCAUGACAAAGCACAGAGAUCUUCUUAUGAAAAGUAACUUGCAGAACACAAGAUCCUAAACGCUCUGCAUUUUUGCCUAUGAGUUAGAAGUUGAAUCUCGAAAUUUCCAUGUUUUAUGGUCUAGUCUAAGAAAGACAACUAGACAAUCCUAAAGGGCUUGACAUGCUUGGAACUGUCAGUACUACGGCAACGUUCCUUUGAAACAGGGUAAUGAACCCCAUGGUAUGGUUUGCCAUGUGUCCUGUUCCUACUCGGAGAAAAAGUGAUAAUAUUGAAAAUAAUGUGGACCCAGUUGAGCUGCAGUUGUCAUUGCCCAAAUUAAGAUACCUCAAAUGUUGAAAUAUAAUCAUGUAUCAUUAACUCAAACCUCUCUAAGUUGUGAAAUGGAUUUUUUUUAAGUUUUAUUUAUUUAUUUGAGAGAGAGAGGGAGGUGGGGAACAUCAGAGGGAGAGAGAGAGAGUCCUAAGCAGACUCCAGGCUGAGCUCAGAACCCAAUUGGGGGCUCGAUGUGGAACUUGAUGUGGGGCUCAAUCUCAUGACCCUGAGAUCACCACCCUGAGCAUGACCUGAGCAGAAACCAAGAUUUGGGUACUCAACCGACUGCACCACCCAGGUGCCCCUGUGAAAUGGGGUUUUUAAAGAGUAGAUGUGAUUCUGGGGAGAAUGACUUUGAAAUCAUCUCUUUCCCUAAAAAUAUUUUAGGGGCCCAAAUUUAAGUAAGGUGUAGUCAAUCUAAAGCAAUUACAUUUUUAGAACAGACUUAAGGAAGGGGCGCCUGGGUGGCUCAGUGGGUUAAGUGACCAACUCUUGAUUUCAGCUCAGGUCAUGAUGUGGGGCUUGUGGGAUCAAGUCCCCCAUGGGGCUCUGCACUGGGCAUGGAGCCUGCCUGGGAUUCUCUCUCUCCCUUUCUCCCUGGUCUUCCCCACCCCUCUCUCUCCCCCUCUCUAAAAAAACAAAACAAAACAAAAACAAACAAACAAAGCACCUCACCAUGUUUCUGUUCUGGAUCUUUGGGGAAUAAUUAGCAUCUUUAGGAACUUCUGUGCCUUGGGUUGUUACUGAAUUCUUGUGUUAUAUCCCACAUGAAUUGUUUUAAUUCAUACGAAUUUUUAUAUCCCCAUAUGAAUUAUUAAAAUUCUUAAAAUUUAAUAAAUUAAAUUCACAAUUUAAAAAUCAUUUAAUUUCAAAAAUAAUUCAUUACUUUUAUUGAAGUAUGCUUUACAUAUGUAAAAUGCACCACUCUUCAGUGUAUAGCUUGAUGAAUUUUUAUGUUUGUAUACCCUCAUAUUACCGCCACCCAGAACAAAGUACAAAAUAUUUCCAUCAUCCUCGAGUGUUCACCCCCGCCCAUCCCAGACAUAGUACUCCUCUGACUGCUCUCCUCUGACUGCUCUCAACUGAUUUCUUUUACGUUUCUCCCUGUUAAAUCUGGUUGGCUUAUUCCUUCAGCAAAUAUGACCAAGUCCAGGGCCUGGGCCCAGCACGACACAGACGUGAGCCUUCCCCUGGAGAGCAAAUAAGGCCAAUAAUUAAACAAGCAAGGGUAAUACUGUCUAUGCAGAUACAAAAGGUCAUAGGAACUCAAGGCAAGCCAUAUUCCAGUUUUGGGGGAUGUUUUGUUUUGUUUUUAUGAGAGGGGAAGCGAAGGCUUUUUGGAAGAUGAGAAUGUUUCUGUUGGGAUCUGAGAAAUGAGUAGAAGGUAGUCAACUAACACAUGCAGGGGGAAGGAAAGGAAAGAUUCUUCCAGGUAGAAGGAAUAUCAUGAGCCAUGGUUCAGAAAUGAGAGCACAUGGAGUGUUCUAGGAACACAAAUAAGUCAGGGAGGACGGAAGUACAGGGCUGGGGAGAAGCACAUGAGAUAGAGCUGGAGAAGCCGUAGGGUCCCAGCCAGAAAGACUAAGGCCAUGAGGAGGGUGGGGCUUUGCUCUAAGGGCAAGGAGAGUCUCUGGACAGGCUUUAGUCACAAGUGCACAGAAUGAGAUCCGAUCUCUCAGCCGACUAUGUAGUAUGAGAUUAUAGGAGGGACUGGAUGGGAGGCUGUCACCGGCAUCUACGUGAGAGGCUAGGGUGGCUUUGAUGAGGCAGUGGCAAUGGGAAUGGUGCGGGGGAAUGGAUGGACCUGAAAGAGAUUUAGAAAGUGAAAUCAGCACAACUUGGUGUCUGACGUGCAAGGAUUCAAGGAGGACGCAUUGAUUUUUUAGAUCUUACAGAAUGGGUGGAUGAUGGUACCACUGGAAAUUUGGGGAGCGAAUCUAGUUUGUAUAAUACCCUUCUUUGAAGUAUUUCUUUCCAAAUACAUUUAGUGUCAGUUGCCAGCUAGCCAAUGGGACAUUUAGGUAGAAAUAUCUACUAGGAAGUCGUAACAGGUAAUUAUGGGACACAUUCUAUAUGCCAGACACUCUCUGGACACUGUGAACAAGACAAUGCGCUGUGCCCUUGUGAAGCUCACAUUGUAUCAGGCUGGAGCUGCAGCCCGGGGUCUACCAGAUAUACGUAGUUAACUAAAGGCUUCAGAGUGAACGAGGUUGCUCAGGAAGAUUUCAGUGAAAGGACAGAGAAGUCUAGCAUAGCAUCCCAAGGAACACUAGUAUUCUAACAUGGAGAAGAGGAGAGAUGGCUGGGAAAGCAAGAGAAGUGUGGCAUUCAGAGGUCUGGGGAAUGGUCCCCAGUGUCAUACACUGCUGAAAAGUAAGAUAAGGACUAGAGGUGUUCUGUUGUGGUGCUUCUCAAAGUGGGGUCCCCAGACUAACCACAGCAGCAGCAUUACCCAGGAAUUUAAAAAGACACUUUUUUAAAAAAAAGAUUUUAUUUAUUUAUUUGACAGAGAGAGAUACAGCAAGAGAAGGAACACAAGCAGGGGGAGUGGGAGAGGGAGAAGCAGGCUUCCCGCGGAGCAGGGAGCCCGAUGUGGGGCUCAAUCCCAGGACCCUGGGAUCAUGACCUGAGCCACACGUAGACGCUUAACCGACUGCGCCACCCAGUCACCCCUAGAACGACACAUUCUGGAGUUCCACCCCGGACCUACUGAAUCUGAAACUCUGAGAGUGGGUCCCAGCCAGCUGUGUUUUAACCAGCCUUCUAGGUGAUUCUGAUAUAAACUGAGGUUUGAGAACCAUUGCUCUACUGCAUUCAUUGAUAAGGAAGUCAUCGGUGACGGGAAAGAGUGACAAAAACAAUUUCAUUGAAGUUACAGCUGUUUGGGAUAAAUUCAAAAAAUUUUAACAGGAGUGUUCAAGUUUUGUUUUAUUUUUUAUUUGGAAAUUUCCAGUGUUUUAUUUAUUUUUUUGCAGGGUUGAUUUUUUUCUUUCUUUUAUAUACUAGUUGAUAAUAGAUUCCUAUUUUGUCUCACUCUGUUCUACAUGAUUUUUGGAGUUCUAUUUUUAUCUGCUUUGAGACACAUCCCUUUAUGGGCUCUCAAUAUGUUAGGCCACCUGCGUCAUUGAUCAUUGAUUUGCUGUCCUCAACUCUGAAAUGGAGGAAUUAAAAUUCCAAAAUAGAGUGCAAUCAUGAAUAUAAGUGAGUCUUGACUCUGAAUGGCAGCUGAGAAAAUACGUAGAUGCUUGAAUUAGUUCUUCCAGAAAGUUCCAAGACUCUAUCAGGGAUAUAUUUCUAAUUAUUUGGACUUCAUACUCAUGUGAAGUAACUGGAAGUGUGCCUUUUCAUCUAAAGUGAUCCAACAACAUAACCAUAAUUAUUGUACUUUCAAUGUACUUAUGGAGGAGAGGACUCUUAUUAACCAGGUCUUUUCCUGUUUCUUUUGUUGUCCCACUCCCAAGUAUUUUCUUUCAUUUGACAGGAAGAAGUAGAGCAUAUUACUAUGUUUUGCUACCAUCAAGGAAAAUCUGUGGUAGAUUUUCAAAUCAGAAGAAAUUGAUGCAGAUGUUACUCUUAUUGCCAUCACAGUUCACAAUGAACACUCUUCAUUUUAUAAGAAUAAAAACUGGUAGUUCCAGUGCUCUGCAUAAUGAGUGACAAGCACAAAGAAGGUCCCCAAAUAUUGAGUGGAUGGAUGGAUGGAUGGGGAAGUGGUUAAGUAGUUGGCUGGAUCAGUGGAUGGAUGGCUAGAUGUGGUACAUGUUUGGAAGAGCAGAUAGAAGAAUGGAUGGGUGGAGCAGUGAUGGAUGGAUGGAUGGAUGGAUGGAUGGAUGGAUGGAUGGAUGGAUAAGUGGGUAGAUGGGUGGCUGGCUGGAUG